rnacentral:rRNA from 1 species
AAACCAGCACCUCAAGUGGUCAGGAUGAUUAUUGGGCCUAAAGCAUCCGUAGCCGGCUCUGUAAGUUUUCGGUUAAAUCUGUACGCUUAACGUACAGGCUGCCGGAAAUACCGCAGAGCUAGGGAGUGGGAGAGGUAGACGGUACUCGGGAGGAAGGGGUAAAAUCCUUUGAUCUCUCGAUGACCACCUGUGGCGAAGGCGGUCUACCAGAACACGUCCGACGGUGAGGGAUGAAAGCUGGGGGAGCAAACCGGAUUAGAAACCCCGGUAGUCC